AGUGAACGCUGGCGGCAGGCCUAAUACAUGCAAGUCGAACGGCAGCACAGCAGAGCUUGCUCUGUGGGUGGCGAGUGGCGGGACGGGUGAGGAAUACGUGGGAAUCUGCCCAGUCGUGGGGGAUAACGUAGGGAAACUUACGCUAAUACCGCAUGCGCCCUUCGGGGGAAAGCCGGGGACCUUCGGGCCUGGCGCGAUUGGAUGAGCCCACGUCGGAUUAGCUAGUUGGCGGGUAAAGGCCCACCAAGGCGACGAUCCGUAGCUGGUCUGAGAGGAUGAUCAGCCACACUGGAACUGAGACACGGUCCAGACUCCUACGGGAGGCAGCAGUAGGGAAUAUUGGACAAUGGGCGCAAGCCUGAUCCAGCCAUGCCGCGUGAGUGAAGAAGGCCCUCGGGUUGUAAAGCUCUUUGUCCGGAAAGAAAGCGCCGGGUUAAUACCCUGGUGUCCUGACGGUACCGGAAGAAUAAGCACCGGCUAACUUCGUGCCAGCAGCCGCGGUAA
rnacentral:rRNA from 1 species